AACUUUUAGCAAUGGAUCUCUUGGUUCUGGCAUCGCUGAAGAACGCAGCGAAAUGCGAUAAGUAAUGUGAAUUGCACAAUUCAGUGAAUCAUCGAAUCUUUGAACGCACAUUGCGCCCCUUGGCAUUCCGAGGGGCAUGCCUGUUCGAGCGUCAUUACAACCCUCAAGCCCUGCUUGGCGUUGGGCAUCACCAGCCCUGGUGUGUCUUAAAAUCAGUGGCGGUGCCUCCUGGCUCUCAGCGCAGUAAUCUCCUCGCUAUAGAACCUGGUAGGUGCCUGCUAUCAACCCCUAGUUUUCUCAAAGGUUGACCUCGGAUCAGGUAGGGAUACCCGCUGAACUUAAGCAUAUCAAUAAGCGGAGGCU
rnacentral:misc_RNA from 1 species